rnacentral:rRNA from 1 species
UACGUAGGUGGCAAGCGUUGUCCGGAAUUAUUGGGCGUAAAGCGCGCGCAGGCGGUUCUUUAAGUCUGAUGUGAAAGCCCACGGCUCAACCGUGGAGGGUCAUUGGAAACUGGGGAACUUGAGUACAGAAGAGGAAAGCGGAAUUCCACGUGUAGCGGUGAAAUGCGUAGAGAUGUGGAGGAACACCAGUGGCGAAGGCGGCGACCUGGGCCAAUAUUGACGCUGAGGUGCGAAAGCGUGGGGAGCAAACAGG